rnacentral:rRNA from 1 species
UACGGAGGGAGCUAGCGUUGUUCGGAAUUACUGGGCGUAAAGCGCACGUAGGCGGCUUUCUAAGUCAGGGGUGAAAUCCUGGAGCUCAAACUCCAGAACUGCCUUUGAUACUGGAAAGCUUGAGUUCGGGAGAGGUGAGUGGAACUGCGAGUGUAGAGGUGAAAUUCGUAGAUAUUCGCAAGAACACCAGUGGCGAAGGCGGCUUACUGGUCCGGUUCUGACGCUGAGGCGCGAAAAGCGUGGGGGAGCAAAACAGG